GUAAGGGAAUCUUCGGCAAUGGGGGCAACCCUGACCGAGCAACGCCGCGUGAGUGAAGAAGGUUUUCGGAUCGUAAAGCUCUGUUGUAAGAGAAGAACGUGUGUGAGAGUGGAAAGUUCACACAGUGACGGUAACUUACCAGAAAGGGACGGCUAACUACGUGCCAG
rnacentral:rRNA from 1 species